rnacentral:lncRNA from 1 species
AUGUUGACAGGGUCCGAGAAAGAAUGGAAGAUUCCAAGGCUAGCUCAGCCUUUGGAACUUGUAUGGCAUCAUUUCUGCUGUAUUCUGUUAUCUACAAGAUGCCACAUGAGGGGAAAAAAACCCCACACUGGCUUGCUGAUCUUGAGAUCCUACUGGGUGCUGUCCAGACCCAUGAAGACAUCACCAGGUAAUGGAUAUUUUUUUCUCCGCAAAGGGCUUGAGGCUCCCAGAGACCUUGAGGAAGCUGUUUAUUAGCACCUUAUGAAAGGAGAGGAAGGGGACAUAUUAUAUUUGGUCUAAUUUGACUCUCUAUAUGUUCAGCAUUUAUCAUUCGAUUAACUGCAGUAAGAAACUACAUGAUCAGAGGAACUGAUAACAGACUAAAUUUGGGUAAUGAGUAAAAUUAUGCAAAUAAGCUGUGAAUUUUAUUCUCAUCCUCCCCUUCUUUUCUCCCCAGGAUCUCUCAUUCCUCCUAUGUAUAUCUUUGUGGGGACCCGUGG